ACAUUCUUAGCUCAUUUGGAUAGAGCAGUAGCCUUCUAAGCUAAUGGUAACAGGUUCAAUUCCUGUAGAAUGUG
rfam:Nannochloropsis gaditana mitochondrion, complete genome.